AUGAAACAUUGGUUCCCAUACGAUCACCGAAGUUAAGCAACGUUGACCCUCGUUAGCACCAAGAUGGGUGACUUCUUGGAAAUACCGAGUGCUGUAAG